rnacentral:lncRNA from 1 species
GCCAAUAUCUCUCCUUUUCACCGUUCGAUUGAUUUCAAAAUUCUCAUAUAUAUAGAAAAACAAGUCUAAUAUCCUCUCACAAAAAUUUCACUCCAAUCCAACUAUUAGAUUGCAAGAAAUCUUGAAAACCCUCACUAGAUCUAAAAUUCUACUUUUUGAGACCUUGACUCACUUAAACCUUAAUAAUCUUCAAUUCAACCAUUAGAUCGAGCUCAAAUUUACAACACGUAUUAAAAACAAAUAUAACCAUGAAUUCACAAAAUUUUACCUAUAGAUCUGUUACAAAACUCUUGAAAUCAUCCAAAAUAUAAACCCUAUUUUAUUUCACAAAACCCAAGUCAUCUAAAACAAACCUUGACUUUGCAAAGCUCUUACAAAGUCAUAACAACUCCAAAUUGCCCAAAACUAAUGCUCAUAGAAACCCAAUCCAAUAUGCUAUCAAAUCUCAUUCUCCGAUCUGCACAACAAUCCUAUAGUCGUCGUCGAGACUUGGUUUUGUGCCUUAGGAUCUGAUUUCAACCCUGGUUUAUAACCAGUCCUCUCCGGGUAUCAAUAUCUAGUUUUUUUUAAGUAAAUUUUGCUAGAAUUUACUCUUAACUUCCUUCUAAAGAUGCUUAUAUCAUUUAUUUUUCCAAUCUACUUUGUUUUGCCUUACUUAUGGUCCUACAAAGCAAGUAGAAGUCACCUUUUUGAAAAGGCAGCAUUGGUAUCUUUUGAUUUUACUAU